AACGAACGCUGGCGGCAGGCUUAACACAUGCAAGUCGAGCGAGACCUUCGGGUCUAGCGGCGGACGGGUGUGUAACGCGUGGGAACGUUCCCUUCUCUACGGAAUAGCCCCGGGAAACUGGGAGUAAUACCGUAUACGCCCUUUGGGGGAAAGAUUUAUCGGAGAAGGAUCGGCCCGCGUUGGAUUAGGUAGUUGGUGGGGUAAUGGCCCACCAAGCCGACGAUCCAUAGCUGGUUUGAGAGGAUGAUCAGCCACACUGGGACUGAGACACGGCCCAGAAUCCUACGGGAGGCAGCAGUGGGGAAUCUUAGACAAUGGGGGCAACGCUGAUCUAGCCAUGCCGCGUGAGUGAUGAAGGCCUUAGGGUUGUAAAGCUCUUUCAGCUGGGAAGAUAAUGACGGUACCAGCAGAAGAAGCCCCGGCUAACUCCGUG
rnacentral:rRNA from 1 species